GAUGAAGAACGCAGCGAAAUGCGAUAAGUAAUGUGAAUUGCAGAAUUCAGUGAAUCAUCGAAUCUUUGAACGCACCUUGCACCCUUUGGCUAUUCCGAAGGGUAUGCCUGUUUGAGUAUCAUGAACACCUCAACUCUCAUGGUUUGCCAUGAUGAGCUUGGACUUUGGGGGUCUUGCUGGCCUGUGGUCAGCUCCUCUAAAAUGAAUCAGCUUACCAGUGUUUGGUGGGUAUCAUGGGUGUGAUAACUAUCUACGCUUGUGGUUUUUCCACCAGGUAACCUUCAGCAGUGGAGGUUCGCUGGAGCUCAUAGAUGUCUCUCCUCAGUGAGGACAGCCCUUUGAAUGUUUGAUCUCAAAUCAGGUAGGACUACCCGCUGAACUUAAGCAUAUCAAUAAGCGGAGGA
rnacentral:misc_RNA from 1 species